UUUGAUCCUGGCUCAGAACGAACGUUAGCGGCGCGCCUAACACAUGCAAGUCGCACGAGAAAGGGCUUCCGCCCCGGUACAGUGGCGCACGGGUGAGUAACACGUGGGUAAUCUGCCUUCGAGCGGGGGAUAAUCUUCCGAAAGGAGUGCUAAUACCGCAUAAGACCACCCCUCCGAAAGGAGAAGCGGUCAAAGCUGGCCUCUAUAUAUAAGCUAGCACUCGAUGAUGAGCCCGCGGAGCAUCAGCUAGUUGGUGAGGUAAUGGCUCACCAAGGCUUAGACGCUUAGCUGGUCUGAGAGGAUGAUCAGCCACACUGGAACUGAGACACGGUCCAGACUCCUACGGGAGGCAGCAGUGGGGAAUCUUGCGCAAUGGGCGAAAGCCUGACGCAGCGACGCCGCGUGAGUGAUGAAGGCCUUCGGGUUGUAAAGCUCUGUGGAGAGAGAAGAAUAAGUGCGGGCUAAUACUCCGCAUGAUGACGGUAUCUCCUUAGCAAGCACCGGCUAUCUCUGUGCCAGCAGCCGCGGUAAGACAGAGGGUGCAAACGUUGUUCGGAAUUACUGGGCGUAAAGCGAGUGUAGGCGGUUUGAUAAGUCAGAUGUGAAAGCCCCGGGCCUCACCCCGGGAAGUGCACUCGAUACUGUCGAGCUAGAGUAUCGGAGAGGU
rnacentral:rRNA from 1 species